rnacentral:rRNA from 1 species
UACGUAGGGGGCAAGCGUUGUCCGGAAUCAUUGGGCGUAAAGAGCGUGUAGGCGGCCAGAAAAGUCCGCUGUGAAAACUCGAGGCUCAACUUCGAGCUGUCGGUGGAAACUGUCUGGCUAGAGUCCGGAAGAGGAGAGUGGAAUUCCUGGUGUAGCGGUGAAAUGCGCAGAUAUCAGGAAGAACACCUAUGGCGAAGGCAGCUCUCUGGGACGGUACUGACGCUGAGACGCGAAAGCGUGGGGAGCGAACAGG